ACUUCUCUAUCAUAGUGCAGGGCUCCUACUUGCAUAAAACCGGGGGUGAAUCGUGGACCUCUUUCCCGGGGGACGACUGGUGACGGUACCUGUUAAAUAAGCUUCGGCUAACUACGUGCCACCAGCCGCGGUAAUACGUAGGAAGCAAGCGUUAUCCGGAUUUAUUGGGCGUAAAGUGAGCGUAUGUGGUCUUUCAACUUGGAUGUGAAAUUUCCCGGCUUAACCGGGACGUGUCAUUCAAUACUGUUGGACUAUAGUACAGCAGGAUAAAACGGAAUUCCCGGUGUGAGUGGUAAAAUGCGUACAUAUCGGGAGGAACACCACAGGCGAACGCGGUUUUCUAAGUUGUCACUGAUACUGAGGCUCGAAAGCGUGGGGAGCGAACAGAAUUAAAUACUCUGGUAGUCCACUCCUUCAACUAUGGACACUAGGUUUAGGGCAGUAUCGACCCUCUCUGUGCCGAAACUAACGCUUUAAGUGUCCCGCCUGGGGAGUACCGUCCCACGGCUUAAAACUCAAA
rnacentral:rRNA from 1 species